UCCCCGUUACCGGGGCAGUCUAGCUAGAGAAAUCCAACUAGCUACAAGGGUUGCGCUCGUUAAUGGACUUAACCAAACAUCUCACGACACGAGCUGACGACGGCCAUGCAACACCUGUCACUGGGCUCUAAAAGCACUCUCUCCUUUCGGAGAGAUUCCCAGGAUGUCAAACCUUGGUAAGGUUCUUCGUUUACCAUCGAAUUAAACAACACGCUCCACCGCUUGUGCGGGUCCCCGUCAAUUCCUUUAUGUUUUAAGCUUGCGCUCGUACUCCACAGGCGGGAUGCUUAACGCGUUAGCUUCGCUACUACCAGGGUCGAUACUGAUAACAGCUAGCAUCCAUCGUUUACGGCGUGGACUAC
rnacentral:misc_RNA from 1 species